AUUAAUCCUUGUUGAUAAACUCUAAUCUUCUCUAUGAGGCCUUUUUUCAAUUACCUUUCAAAUCCGAUUUCGUAUUUAUUUCUUUGGUUCUGUUUUUGGUUGAUUUAGUGGCCUAUGAUUUAAAUGAUUAUAGACAAGCA